ensembl:lncRNA
AUUCUCUCCGACCACCGACCCGAGGCAUUGUCUGCCUUUUUCUCCGGACAUUUUUCCACACGGCAGGCUAUCGAAUUUACAUCGCCUCCUGAUGAUUUUUAUAGCUUAUUAACGUGUAGUUAUACCUAAAGUUGCAUUAGAAAGUCUUCAUAGAUCGAUAUCUAGGCUAUAUAUGGACCGAUUUAAUCCAAAAAAAGACCCAGUAUUGAUUAUGGGACAUCAAGGUGUGCAAAGAAAGAAGAUGGUCAAAGGACCUGAGCCCUAGGACCAUGCCUCAGGACUACCUGGCAUGAUGACUCCUUGUUGUCCCCAGUCCACCUGGCCUUGCUGCUGCUCCAGUUUCAACUGUUCUGCCUGUGGCUAUGGAACCCUG